GACGAACGCUGGCGGCGUGCCUAAUACAUGCAAGUCGAGCGAAGCGACAGAUGGGUGAGUAAAGCGUGGGUAACCUGCCCUUAAGUCUGGGAUAACAUUUGGAAACAGAUGCCACUACCGGAUCCUAAAGGAUGGACCUGCGAUGCAUUAGCUAGUUGGUAAGGUAACGGCUUACCAAGGCGAGGAUGCAUAGCCGAGUUGAGAGACGGAUCGGCCACAGUGGGACGGAGACACGGCCCAAACUCCUACGGGAGGCAGCAGUAGGGAAUCUUCCACAAUGGACGAAAGUCUGAUGGAGCAACGCCGCGUGAGUGAAGAAGGUGUUCGGAUCGUAAAGCUCUGUUGUUGGUGAAGCGGUAAUCAACCAGAAAGGCACGGCUAACUACGUGCCAGCAGCCGCGGUAAUAC
rnacentral:rRNA from 1 species